rnacentral:snoRNA from 15 species
AUACUAUGAUGGUUGCAUAGUUCAGCAGAUAUUAGUGAAGAAUACUUAUCUUAUUAUCUGAUGUAUCU